rnacentral:lncRNA from 1 species
GCAUCCUUAUACAGUUAAUGUGCAAAUGUCUACUGUUCUCAUUUGCAGCACUGACUUUGCCUCCUGGCUUAGAACGUCUACCCAGACAUGUGCACGCAUGCCCCAAAAGCCAGAACCCUGGAAGAAAGAGCGGAAUUCUCUCUAGGAAAGCUACACUCCUGUGUCCUAGGGCCCAACAACAAGCAAGACAAGCAUAAUAGCUGGGAAACCAAUCAGCUUAAACUAAGACAGACAAUUAUCAAAAGGGCAUGUCUAGCCCGUGAGAACAUCCACCCUAAAUCCAGAAGGCAUUAUGACCACAUCUCUUCAGCUGCCAGGAUUUCAGGUAUAAAUUAGUUCUUCUACAAAGAGGGCACUUGGUCUGUAAACUGGUCCAAAGGUAAGAGUCCCACUGCUAAAGACCUAUCUCUCUUCUACACUAACAUGGUGGGGCAGGGGGGAAGAAAGGGG